AUUGAACGCUGGCGGCAGGCCUAACACAUGCAAGUCGAGCGGAUGAAGGGAGCUUGCUCCUGGAUUCAGCGGCGGACGGGUGAGUAAUGCCUAGGAAUCUGCCUGGUAGUGGGGGAUAACGUCCGGAAACGGGCGCUAAUACCGCAUACGUCCUGAGGGAGAAAGUGGGGGAUCUUCGGACCUCACGCUAUCAGAUGAGCCUAGGUCGGAUUAGCUAGUUGGUGGGGUAAAGGCCUACCAAGGCGACGAUCCGUAACUGGUCUGAGAGGAUGAUCCGUCACACUGGAACUGAGACACGGUCCAGACUCCUACGGGAGGCAGCAGUGGGGAAUAUUGGACAAUGGGCGAAGGCCUGAUCCAGCCAUGCCGCGUGUGUGAAGAAGGUCUUCGGAUUGUAAAGCACUUUAAGUUGGGAGGAAGGGCAGUAAGUUAAUACCUUGCUGUUUUGACGUUACCAACAGAAUAAGCACCGGCUAACUUCGUG
rnacentral:rRNA from 1 species